rnacentral:rRNA from 1 species
CCUACGGGUGGCAGCAGUGGGGAAUUUUGGGCAAUGGCCGAAAGGCUGACCCAGCGACGCCGCGUGCGGGAGGACGCCCCUCGGGGUGUAAACCGCUGUCAGAGGGGACGAAUCCCCGACGUUCGAACAGGGCGUCGGGUUGACGGUACCCUCAGAGGAAGCGCCGGCUAACUCCGUGCCAGCAGCCGCGGUAAGACGGAGGGCGCGAGCGUUGUUCGGAAUCACUGGGCGUAAAGCGCGCGCAGGCGGGACGGGAAGUCGGGAGUGAAAGCCCGGGGCUCAACCCCGGAGUUGCUUCCGAAACUCCCGACCUGGGGACCGGUAGGGGCGGGUGGAAUUCCCGGUGUAGCGGUGGAAUGCGUAGAGAUCGGGAAGAACACCGGUGGCGAAGGCGGCCCGCUGGGCCGGAUCCGACGCUGAGGCGCGAAAGCGUGGGGAGC